AUACGUAGGGGGCAAGCGUUGUCCGGAAUUAUUGGGCGUAAAGCGCGCGCAGGCGGCUAUUUAAGUCUGGUGUUUAAACCUUGGGCUCAACCUGAGGUCGCACUGGAAACUGGGUGGCUUGAGUACAGAAGAGGAAAGUGGAAUUCCACGUGUAGCGGUGAAAUGCGUAGAGAUGUGGAGGAACACCAGUGGCGAAGGCGACUUUCUGGGCUGUAACUGACGCUGAGGCGCGAAAGCGUGGGGAGCAAACAGGAUUAGAUACCCUGGUAGUCCACGCCGUAAACGAUGAGUGCUAGGUGUUAGGGGUUUCGAUACCCUUGGUGCCGAAGUUAACACAGUAAGCACUCCGCCUGGGGAGUACGGUCGCAAGACUGAA
rnacentral:rRNA from 1 species